rnacentral:rRNA from 1 species
UACGUAGGGUGCAAGCGUUAAUCGGAAUUACUGGGCGUAAAGCGUACGCAGGCGGUUAUGUAAGACAGAUGUGAAAUGCCCGGGCUUAACCUGGGAACUGCAUUUGUGACUGCAUGGCUAGAGUUUGGCAGAGGGGGGUAGAAUUCCACGUGUAGCAGUGAAAUGCGUAGAUAUGUGGAGGAACACCGAUGGCGAAGGCAGCCCCCUGGGUCAAGACUGACGCUCAUGCACGAAAGCGUGGGGAGCAAACAGG